ACCACCUAUAAUCGUUUUAAUCGAUGGGGGGACGCAGUAGGAUAGGCGAAGCGUGCGAUUGGAUUGCACGUCUAAGCAGUAAGGCUGAGUAUUAGGCAAAUCCGGUACUCGUUAAGGCUGAGCUGUGAUGGGGAGAAGACAUUGAGUCUUCGAGUCGUUGAUUUCACACUGCCGAGAAAAGCCUCUAGAUAGAAAAUAGGUGCCCGUACCGCAAACCGACACAGGUAGUCAAGAUGAGAAUUCUAAGGUGAGCGAGCGAACUCUCGUUAAGGAACUCGGCAAAAUGACC
rnacentral:rRNA from 1 species